rnacentral:rRNA from 1 species
CUACGGAGGGUGCAAGCGUUACUCGGAAUCACUGGGCGUAAAGCGCGCGCAGGCGGGCUGAUAAGUUGGAUGUGAAAGCCUACGGCUCAACCGUAGAACUGCAUCCAAAACUGUCAGUCUAGAGUCUGGGAGGGGAAGAUGGAAUUAGUUGUGUAGGGGUAAAAUCCGUAGAGAUAACUAGGAAUACCAAAAGCGAAGGCAAUCUUCUGGAACACUACUGACGCUGAGGCGCGAAGGCGUGGGGAGCAAACAGGAUUAGAAACCCCGGUAGUCC